ensembl:snRNA U6 U6 spliceosomal RNA
GUGUUUGUUUCAGUGGCACGUAUACUCAAAAUGGACAGAUACAGAGAUGAACAUGGUCUCUACGCAAGGAUGACAUGCACAUUUGUGAAGCGUUCUGUAUUUUU